GACGAACGCUGGCGGCGUGCCUAAUACAUGCAAGUAGAACGCUGAAGAGAGGAGCUUGCUCUUCUUGGAUGAGUUGCGAACGGGUGAGUAACGCGUAGGUAACCUGCCUUGUAGCGGGGGAUAACUAUUGGAAACGAUAGCUAAUACCGCAUAACAAUGGAUGACACAUGUCAUUUAUUUGAAAGGGGCAAUUGCUCCACUACAAGAUGGACCUGCGUUGUAUUAGCUAGUAGGUGAGGUAAUGGCUCACCUAGGCGACGAUACAUAGCCGACCUGAGAGGGUGAUCGGCCACGCUGGGACUGAGACACGGCCCAGACUACUACGGGAGGCAGCAGUAGGGAAUCUUCGGCAAUGGGGGCAACCCUGACCGAGCAACGCCGCGUGAGUGAAGAAGGUUUUCGGAUCGUAAAGCUCGGUUGUAAGUCAAGAACGGGUGUGAGAGUGGAAAGUUCACACUGUGACGGUAGCUUACCAGAAAGGGACGGCUAACUACGUG
rnacentral:rRNA from 1 species